UAAGUAAAGCAAUCUAUACUGUGAAACUGCGAAUGGCUCAUUAAAUCAGUUAUCGUUUAUUUGAUAGUACCUUACUACUUGGAUAACCGUGGUAAUUCUAGAGCUAAUACAUGCUAAAAACCCCGACUUCGGAAGGGGUGUAUUUAUUAGAUAAAAAACCAAUGCCCUUCGGGGCUCCUUGGUGAUUCAUGAUAACUUAACGAAUCGCAUGGCCUUGCGCCGGCGAUGGUUCAUUCAAAUUUCUGCCCUAUCAACUUUCGAUGGUAGGAUAGUGGCCUACCAUGGUAUCAACGGGUAACGGGGAAUUAGGGUUCUAUUCCGGAGAGGGAGCCUGAGAAACGGCUACCACAUCCAAGGAAGGCAGCAGGCGCGCAAAUUACCCAAUCCCGACACGGGGAGGUAGUGACAAUAAAUACUGAUACAGGGCUCUUUUGGGUCUUGUAAUUGGAAUGAGUACAAUUUAAAUACCUUAACGAGGAACAAUUGGAGGGCAAGUCUGGUGCCAGCAGCCGCGGUAAUUCCAGCUCCAAUAGCGUAUAUUAAAGUUGUUGCAGUUAAAAAGCUCGUAGUUGAACCUUGGGCCUGGCUGGCCGGUCCGCCUCACCGCGUGUACUGGUCCGGCCGGGCCUUUCCUCCUGGGGAUCCGCAUGCCCUUCACUGGGUGUGUCGGGGAACCAGGACUUUUACUUUGAAAAAAUUAGAGUGUUCAAAGCAGGCCUUUGCUCGAAUACAUUAGCAUGGAAUAAUAGAAUAGGACGUGCGGUCCUAUUUUGUUGGUUUCUAGGACCGCCGUAAUGAUUAAUAGGGAUAGUCGGGGGCAUCAGUAUUCAAUUGUCAGAGGUGAAAUUCUUGGAU
rnacentral:rRNA from 1 species